UACGUAGGGGGCAAGCGUUAUCCGGAUUUACUGGGUGUAAAGGGGGCGCAGACGGCCAGACAAGUCUGAAGUGAAAAUCCAGCGCUUAACGUUGGAAGUGCUUUGGAAACUGCCGGGCUAGAGUGCAGGAGGGGCAGGCGGAAUUCCUAGUGUAGCGGUGAAAUGCGUAGAUAUUAGGAGGAACACCAGUGGCGAAGGCGGCCUGCUGGACUGCAACUGACGUUGAGGCUCGAAGGCGUGGGGAGCAAACAGG
rnacentral:rRNA from 1 species